CACAGCUCUUCAGGGGAAAGGACGCACAGCCCUGCACGUGUUGGAGGAUAUUUUGGCAUUCGAGCGCAAGUUGACAGUGCUUGCCAGAGAUUUACAGAAAGGCACUUUGUCUCACUUCCCCAAUUUGAGAGAGUUCAAACAAGGUCACGACAUGAUAAAUUCGGAGUAUUUACAUUCUGCAAUCAUCGCAAUGCAAACAUCGUUUGGGAAACGCUUCUGUGAGUUCAGAGAGGAAAAAAACACAUUAUCCUUCCCGGUCACUCCCUUAAGCAUCGAUCCUUCCCUACUGAAUACGACUGCAUUGGCAGGUGUGAGUCAACCUGAUCUUGAGAUGGAACUGGCCGACAUAGCCGACAAAGACAUAUGGGUGUCCAAGUUUAGACGCUUGACAGCAGACCUUGAAGAUGUUGCCCGUCAGAAGGCCGUUCUUGCUCAGAAACACAAAUGGAGUGAUAUUGAAAACCUUCCAAAACCGGACAAACUUGUGUUCGAAACAUGGAAUGCUAUGCCCGACAUUUAUGUAAACAUUAAAAAGUAUGCGCUUUGAGUCCUGUCGAUCUUUGGAUCCACAUAUGUAAGUGAGCAGGUGUUCUCCAACAUGAACUUUAUUAAAAACAAACAUCGCGCACGCCUCACAGAUGACAGCUUGCGAUCCUGUGUAAAGAUGAAGGUGACGUCAUACAGCCCUGAUGUGCAGACGCUGUGCGCUGAGGUCCAGGAGCAGAAAUCCCAUUAACCAAGCUGACAGCUGGCUGACGUUAUUUUUGGUUUGCUGCUGGCGGAAAAUUUAAGUUCGGCGUUUUUCAUAAAUACAAGAAGGACUCAAAUAGACAUUGAGUAUUUUACUUAAAAGUAACUUUCAACCCAACGUCUUUUUUUCGGAGUUCAAAAUGUUUUUGUUGCAUGCAGAAAUGUAAUUUCAUUUUCUCUGCAGGAGUUCAUCAAUUUCAUAAAUGCAACACAUUAUAGUUUGUUUAUACAUAGCAUAAAGGCAAAAAAAACGUUGAA